rnacentral:rRNA from 1 species
AGUGAACGCUGGCGGUAGGCCUAACACAUGCAAGUCGAACGGCAGCACAGUAAGAGCUUGCUCUUACGGGUGGCGAGUGGCGGACGGGUGAGGAAUACAUCGGAAUCUACUUUUUCGUGGGGGAUAACGUAGGGAAACUUACGCUAAUACCGCAUACGACCUACGGGUGAAAGCAGGGGAUCUUCGGACCUUGCGCGAUUGAAUGAGCCGAUGUCGGAUUAGCUAGUUGGCGGGGUAAAGGCCCACCAAGGCGACGAUCCGUAGCUGGUCUGAGAGGAUGAUCCGCCACACUGGAACUGAGACACGGUCCAGACUCCUACGGGAGGCAGCAGUGGGGAAUAUUGGACAAUGGGCGCAAGCCUGAUCCAGCCAUACCGCGUGGGUGAAGGAGGCCUUCGGGUUGUAAAGCCCUUUUGUUGGGAAAGAAAAGCAGCAGGUUAAUACCCCGCUGUUCUGACGGUACCCAAAGAAUAAGCACCGGCUAACUUCGUG